rnacentral:tRNA from 1 species
GGAGGCGAACGGGGUCUGGUGGCCCCCCUGGUCUUCAAAACCAGCGCAACGCCAACAGCGUUGGGUGGGUUCGAUUCCCAUCCGCUUCCGCCA